rnacentral:rRNA from 1 species
CAGUCGCCACGGUAAUACAGAGGGUGCGAGCGUUAAUCGGAUUUACUGGGCGUAAAGCGUGCGUAGGCGGCUUUUUAAGUCGGAUGUGAAAUCCCUGAGCUUAACUUAGGAAUUGCAUUCGAUACUGGGAAGCUAGGGUAUGGGAGAGGAUGGUAGAAUUCCAGGUGUAGCGGUGAAAUGCGUAGAGAUCUGGAGGAAUACCGAUGGCGAAGGCAGCCAUCUGGCCUAAUACUGACGCUGAGGUACGAAAGCAUGGGGAGCAAACAGGAUUAGAUACCCGGGUAGUCCCUGUCUCUUAUAC